rnacentral:rRNA from 2 species
UUCGCAAUGCCCGAAAGGGUGACGAAGCGACGCCGCGUGGGUGAGGAAGGCCUUCGGGUUGUAAAGCCCUGUCAGGAGUUAAGAAAUGUAAGUGUGUUAAUACCGCAUUUACUUGACGAAAGCUCCAAAGGAAGCCACGGCUAACUCUGUGCCAGCAGCCGCGGUAAUACAGAGGUGGCAAGCGUUGUUCGGAAUUAUUGGGCGUAAAGAGCACGUAGGUGGGCUUGUGUGUCAGACGUGAAAGCCUUCUGUUCAACGGAAGAAUUGCAUCUGAAACUGCAGGUCUUGAGUGUAGGAGGGGAGAAUGGAACUUCUGGUGGAGCGGUGAAAUGCGUAGAUAUCAGAAGGAACGCCGGCGGCGAAAGCGAUUCUCUGGCCUAUUACUGACACUCAGUGUGCGAAAGCUAGGGGAGCAAACGGGAUUAGAUACCCCGGUAGUCCUAGCCGUAAACGAUGGGCACUAAGUAGAGGGGUUUU